CUCAUAGGGGGCAUGUGCACACUCUGUUUACACAUCCACUCACACCUGUGCACCCUCUGUAGUUCUAUGGUCUGGGGGACCCUGUCUUCCUUCUGUGGUUCUACGUCUUUACACACACACUGUAAUAAAGUUUUAUGGAAUGUACAUCGCGUCUAACGCAAUACAAUACAACUUUCAGCAACGGAUCUCUUGGCUCUCGCAUCGAUGAAGAACGCAGCGAAAUGCGAUAAGUAAUGUGAAUUGCAGAAUUCAGUGAAUCAUCGAAUCUUUGAACGCACCUUGCGCCCCUUGGCUAUUCCGAGGGGCAUGCCUGUUUGAGUAUCAUGAACACCUCAACUCUCAUGGUUUGCCAUGAUGAGUUGGACUCUGGGGGUUUUGCUGGCCUGUGGUCGGCUCCUCUCAAAUUAAUCAGCCUCCCAGUGUUUGGUGGCAUCACGGGUGUGAUAAAUAUCUACGCUCGCUGUUGUCUGCCAGGUAACCUUUGGUCACAAAGGUUUGCUGGAGCUCACAGAUGUCUCUCCUCAGCGAGGACAGCUUUUUUAACGUUCGAUCUCAAAUCAGGUAGGACUACCCGCUGAACUUAAGCAUAUCAAUAAGCGGAGGAAAAGAAACUAACAAGGAUUCCCCUAGUAACUGCGAGUGAAGCGGGAAAAGCUCAAAUUUAAAAUCUGGUGUGCCUCUGGUCGUCCGAGUUGAG
rnacentral:rRNA from 1 species